GGAAAGGUGGCUCAGUGGUUAAGAGCAUUAACUUUUCUCCCAAAGGACCUGGGUUCAAUUCCCAGCACCCA
rnacentral:tRNA from 1 species